UUGAAGGUAGUGGUCCUUUGUCGGACGACGUGAGGAAGGAGAUUCUGGAAUUAGGGUUUCCGAAUGAUGGUUAUAACUACUUGUAUCAUUUGAGGGAAAUUAAAAUUACUGGCGGUGGUUCAAAUUUCUUUAGUAACCCUAAGUUCAAACUAGAGCAUGUUAGUGAUGUUAAGCUUAUGAUGCUUCGAGAGUGCGAAUUAAAGAGGCGUCGGAGAAAUAGCAUGAAAAAAACACUUUGUACAGUGUUGCAUCCCACUCUUGCCGGUGAUUGUGGACUGUUGGAUGGGAGUUCAAAUGGUGCAACAGGUGUGCAUUAUGUUGCUGAGAAGCCAAGAGGUCGUCGUCUAUUAGAUAAACAAUUCGAUUUGUAAUAAUAGCCUGUUACGGUUUCGCGCUGUUACGUCCGCCAUUGACGCAUUCCAUAUUCACCUGUUCAACUUUCUAUUGCUGUCGUAUUACUGAAGCUGCUCAUACAGCAAUGUCCACCACCACCACCUCAUCCUUUACAACAACAAUGUAAAAUACAUCAUCCUCGGCAAGUUAGUUUUGGCUUUUACAAACUUCAAUGGCUUGUAGUAUCCUCCAAAGUGGCUCUUCUCCUAAGGUGACAUGGAAAUAUGACGUGUUUGUGAGCUUUAGAG